UUCAUUUAGGGGAAAAAAAUAAAAAUAAAAAGAACCCCAAAGGAAGAAGAAGAAGGAUCAUGGCGCAGAAUCGAAGGACUAGGGCAACGGGUGAGGGGACCCCUACAGCAUCAGUAAGUGGGACGGAACUCAAUUGUAGGAGAGGUGAAUGUAUUAUGUGAAACAAUAUAACUUAAUUUAACUAAGUUUUUAUUUCAAAAAAUUUGAAAUCGAUUAUAUGAAUUUUUUUUUUCUUCA
rnacentral:misc_RNA from 1 species